rnacentral:rRNA from 1 species
GAACGGGGAGGAGCCCAGAGCCUGAAUCAGCAUGUGUGUUAGUGGAAGUGUCUGGAAAGGCGCGCGAUACAGGGUGACAGCCCCGUACACAAAAGCGCAUGUGUUGUGAGCUCGAUGAGUAGGGCGGGACACGUGGUAUCCUGUCUGAAUAUGGGGGGACCAUCCUCCAAGGCUAAAUACUCCUGACUGACCGAUAGUGAACCAGUACCGUGAGGGAAAGGCGAAAAGAACCCCGGCGAGGGGAGUGAAAAAGAACCUGAAACCGUGUACGUACAAGCAGUGGGAGCACAGGUUUACCUGUGUGACUGCGUACCUUUUGUAUAAUGGGUCAGCGACUUAUAUUCUGUAGCAAGGUUAACCGUAUAGGGGAGCCGGAGGGAAACCGAGUCUUAAUUGGGCGUUAAGUUGCAGGGUAUAGACCCGAAACCCGGUGAUCUAGCCAUGGGCAGGUUGAAGGUUGGGUAACACUAACUGGAGGACCGAACCGACUAAUGUUGAAAAAUUAGCGGAUGACCUGUGGCUGGGGGUGAAAGGCCAAUCAAACCGGGAGAUAGCUGGUUCUCCCCGAAAGCUAUUUAGGUAGCGCCUCGUGAAUUCAUCUCCGGGGGUAGAGCACUGUUUCGGCUAGGGGGCCAUCCCGGCUUACCAACCCGAUGCAAACUGCGAAUACCGGAGAAUGUUAUCACGGGAGACACACGGCGGGUGCUAACGUCCGUCGUGAAGAGGGAAACAACCCAGACCGCCAGCUAAGGUCCCAAAGUCAUGGUUAAGUGGGAAACGAUGUGGGAAGGCCCAGACAGCCAGGAUGUUGGCUUAGAAGCAGCCAUCAUUUAAAGAAAGCGUAAUAGCUCACUGGUCGAGUCGGCCUGCGCGGAAGAUGUAACGGGGCUAAACCAUGCACCGAAGCUGCGGCAGCGACGCUUAUGCGUUGUUGGGUAGGGGAGCGUUCUGUAAGCCUGUGAAGGUGGCCUGUGAGGGUUGCUGGAGGUAUCAGAAGUGCGAAUGCUGACAUAAGUAACGAUAAAGCGGGUGAAAAGCCCGCUCGCCGGAAGACCAAGGGUUCCUGUCCAACGUUAAUCGGGGCAGGGUGAGUCGACCCCUAAGGCGAGGCCGAAAGGCGUAGUCGAUGGGAAACGGGUUAAUAUUCCCGUACUUGGUGUUACUGCGAAGGGGGGACGGAGAAGGCUAUGUUGGCCGGGCGACGGUUGUCCCGGUUUAAGCGUGUAGGUGUGUGUUCCAGGUAAAUCCGGUU